rnacentral:tRNA from 1 species
GACACAGUGGCGGAGUGGUUAACGCGCAUCCCUGCUAUACACGCUCCUCAAGGGCAAAACUCUUGUAAGGAUGUCUCCUCGGAGGCGCAAGUUCGAAUCUUGUCUGUGUCG